CUAUCACUCCUACGGGAGGCAGCAGUGGGGAAUAUUGCACAAUGGGGGAAACCCUGAUGCAGCCAUGCCGCGUGUGUGAAGAAGGCCUUCGGGUUGUAAAGCACUUUCAGUAGGGAGGAAGGUAGUGUAGUUAACACCUGCAUUAUUUGACGUUACCUACAGAAGAAGCACCGGCUAACUCCGUGCCAGCAGCCGCGGUAAUACGGAGGGUGCGAGCGUUAAUCGGAAUUACUGGGCGUAAAAGCGCAUGCAGGCGGCCUGUUAAGUCAGAUGUGAAAGCCCGGGGCUUAACCUCGGAAUUGCAUUUGAAACUGGCAGGCUAGAGUCUUGUAGAGGGGGUAGAAUUUCAGGUGUAGCGGUGAAAUGCGUAGAGAUCUGAAGGAAUACCAGUGGCGAAGGCGGCCCCCUGGACAAAGACUGACGCUCAGAUGCGAAAGCGUGGGGAGCAAACAGGAUUAGAUACCCUGGUAG
rnacentral:rRNA from 1 species